CGAGACCCACGCCAACAGUUGCCAGCAUGUCCUCCGGGAUGAUUGGGGACACUGUUCGGGACCGCCUCUGCUAAAGAGGAGGAAGGAAUGGGCAACGGUAGGUCAGCAUGCCCCGAAUUAUCCGGGCUACACGCGGGCUACAAUGGUCAGGACAAUGGGUAUCGACACCGAGAGGUGGAGGCAAUCUACCUAAACCUGUCCUUAGUUCGGAUUGUGGGCUGCAACUCGCCCACAUGAAGCUGGAAUCCGUAGUAAUCGCGUUUCAAAAUAGCGCGGUGAAUAUGUCCCUGCUCCUU
rnacentral:rRNA from 1 species